rnacentral:lncRNA from 1 species
AGAUGUUAGCAAGAGAGUUGGGACUGAAAGCCGAGGCUGCCCACACUCAGCCCAGGAAUCUUCUCACCUGGAUCUUCUCCAAUCAGCUAGAUGGUGCAGUGGUCAGAGCCCUGGACCUGGCCUCAGGAAAAGCUGUUUAAAUCUUGUCUCAGACACUUACUAGCUCUGCGACCCUAGCCAGUCUUUAUUUGUUUCCCCAUCGGUAAAAUGAGGGAAUUGGACUUAAUGAUGUAUAAGAGCACCUCCAGUUCUAAAUCAAUGACUUAAGGAAUGUCCAGGCUCCUCAUCCAAUGGCAUCCAAAGAAAGUCUGUCUGGGAAACACUGUGCAAAUCUUUCCUCUGACUUCAGGUCUUGGUUGCCUUACAUACAUAACCAGAAGGUUGGACCUCCAAGGUCCCUUCUUGACAGACCCUCCUAACCCUUCUCCAGAGCUCCUUUUGGGCCAAGUUCAUCACUGGGAAUUUUAUUACCCUCCAGAAGCUUGUUGUAAAAGCCAGUUCCCGACAUCCAGGAUCCCAAGACCCGGCAGUAACUUUUCUUGAGUUAUUGAGCUCAGGAUUCCCUAACCCACCCAUGUGCAAACAGACGGUAAUCCCCAGCUUGUAAUGCUCAAAAAAAAAAUUAAAAAAAAGCCUCCAUCCCGUGUGAAUCCCACAGAUGUCUUCUUUCUGGACCACUCUGGCAGGUGGGAGGGAGCUUCAGCUUCGGGGAGGACAAGAUCUCCGCUGCGAGCACCUCGUUUUUUGCUGAGUUGCCUGAAUGAAAAAAAAAAAAGCCCCCUUUCCCUUCCGCUCUUCCUCCUCUCUCCUCGGUCCCUUCUACGCCCAACUCCUCCGUGGAGCCGUUCUUAUAGAAUCCUGUCCCCAUCCCAGCGUCUCCCCCGGCAUGACUACCAGAAGAGGAUGGAGUGGCUCCGUGGUGGAGCCAAACGAAAACUCUAAAUGGUAGAAGAGGCAUUUCGAUUUCUCUUCUGCCCAGCUGACAGUGGGUUUACAGUUUAUAAUCUGGCCUUUGUAAAAGCAUUUGUCAGCCUGUAUAUUUCAUUUUAAACACGACCACCCACCGGGACGGACAACCAGGAAGCAUUUGUUCAUUUGCACCAAGAACUGAUGGGAGGCUUGGCUGCCAAAUCACAAGAAUUUAGUCACAAAGGGGAAUUUUUUUGGCAUUAUCUCCCUCGGAUCUCGCCGGCGAGAGGGCCAGUGUUUAUACCAAGC